rnacentral:pre_miRNA from 14 species
AGGCGACGCCAUGGAGAGACUUAGCCUUGGAAUGACACGAUCACUCCCGUUGAGCCGAAACUCACAGCGCCAUCGGGAAUAUCGUGUCGCUCCAAAGCUCUCUCUUCGACACCAGUCGAGAUA